rnacentral:rRNA from 1 species
UUUCCUCGAGUCGUUGAUUUCACACUGCCGAGAAAAGCCUCUAGCUAGAUUUAUGGUGCCCGUACCGCAAACCGACACAGGUAGUCAAGAUGAGAAUUCUAAGGUGAGCGAGCGAACUCUCGUUAAGGAACUCGGCAAAAUGACCCCGUAACUUCGGGAGAAGGGGUGCUCUUUAGGGUUCACGCCCAGGAGAGCCGCAGUGAAUAGGCCCAAGCGACUGUUUAUCAAAAACACAGGUCUCUGCUAAACCGUAAGGUGAUGUAUAGGGGCUGACGCCUGCCCGGUGCUGGAAGGUUAAGAGGAGUGGUUAGCUUCUGCGAAGCUACGAAUCGAAGCCCCAGUAAACGGCGGCCGUAACUAUAACGGUCCUAAGGUAGCGAAAUUCCUUGUCGGGUAAGUUCCGACCCGCACGAAAGGCGUAACGAUUUGGGCACUGUCUCAACGAGAGACUCGGUGAAAUCAUAGUACCUGUGAAGAUGCAGGUUACCCGCGACAGGACGGAAAGACCCCGUGGAGCUUUACUGUAGUCUGAUAUUGAAAUUCGGUACAGCUUGUACAGGAUAGGUAGGAGCCUUAGAUACGUGAGCGCUAGCUUACGUGGAGGCGUUGGUGGGAUACUACCCUCGCUGUAUUGGAUUUCUAACCCGCACCAUUAAUCAUGGUGGGAGACAGUGUCAGAUGGACAGUUUGACUGGGGCGGUCGCCUCCUAAAGAGUAACGGAGGCGCUCAAAGGUUUCCUCAGAAUGGUUGGAAAUCAUUCAUAGAGUGUAAAGGCACAAGGAAGCUUGACUGCGAGACUUACAAGUCGAGCAGGGUCGAAAGACGGACUUAGUGAUCCGGUGGUUCCGCAUGGAAGGGCCAUCGCUCAACGGAUAAAAGCUACCCCGGGGAUAACAGGCUUAUCUCCCCCAAGAGUUCACAUCGACGGGGAGGUUUGGCACCUCGAUGUCGGCUCAUCGCAUCCUGGGGCUGUAGUCGGUCCCAAGGGUUGGGCUGUUCGCCCAUUAAAGCGGUACGCGAGCUGGGUUCAGAACGUCGUGAGACAGUUCGGUCCCUAUCCGUCGUGGGCGUAGGAAAUUUGAGAGGAGCUGUCCUUAGUACGAGAGGACCGGGAUGGACAUACCUCUGGUGUACCAGUUGUCGUGCCAACGGCAUCGCUGGGUAGCUAUGUAUGGACGGGAUAAGUGCUGAAAGCAUCUAAGCAUGAAGCCCCCCUCAAGAUGAGAUUUCCCAACUUCGGUUAUAAGAUCCCUCAAAGAUGAUGAGGUUAAUAGGUUCGAGGUGGAAGCAUAGCGAUAUGUGGAGCUGACGAAUACUAAUCGAUCGAAGACUUAAUCAA